AAUCAUUGACAAUAGGAGAAAGCCUGGCCCAGCCAUUCCAUGUGCGUGAAGUAAGUCUUCGGAUUGGAACCGGCGUCAAGUUGGGGAGACAGCUUGUAAGUUAAUACCUUCCCGUUUCUACCUUUCCUCCAGCUGUAGAACCCUCAACCUUUGUCCCCGCAGCCGCGGUAAUACGGAGGGUGCAAGCGUUAAUCGGAAUUAUGGGGCGUAAAGCGCGCGUAGGUGGUUCAGUAAGAUGGGUGAGAAAUCCCCGGGCUUAACCUGGGAACUGCUUUCAUAACUGCUGAGCUAGAGUACGAUAGAGGGUAGUGGAAUUUCCUGUGUAGCGGUGAAAUGCGUAGAUAUAGGAAGAAACACCAGUGGAGAAGGCGACUACCUGGACUGAUACUGAAUCUGAGGUGCGAAAGCGUGGGGAGAAAAC
rnacentral:rRNA from 1 species